ACAGAGUCCCCGUCUAAGUGGGUGGCUUCCAUGACUCUAGUUCCUGUGCUAACUGAUUUCCAAAAAUCAUUGGACUGUUUUUAAACCCUUGAGGUAAUACUGUCCAAGUUAAUUGGGUUUUCCUUACUGUGUCAGGAUUUUCCCAUUCAAAAGCAAAUAAAUUCUGGUUUUCUUUGGCCAAUGGUAAGCAAAAGAAAGAAGUCCUUUAAAUCCAGGAUGGCAAACCAUUUCUGAUUAUUAUUCAAUUUAGUCA